GACGAACGCUGGCGGCGUGCUUAACACAUGCAAGUCGAACGGAAAGGCACUGCUUUUGUGGGGUGCUCGAGUGGCGAACGGGUGCGUAACACGUGAGUAACCUGCCCUUGACUUUGGGAUAACUUCAGGAAACUGGGGCUACUACCGUAUAGGAGCUCCUGCUGCAUGGUGGGGGUUGGAACGUUUCGGCGGUCGGGGAUGGACUCGCGGCUUAUCAGCUAGUUGGUGGGGUAGUGGCUGACCAAGGCUUUGACGGGUAGCCGGCCUGAGAGGGUGACCGGCCACAUUGGGACUGAGAGACGGCCCAGACUCCUACGGGAGGCAGCAGUGGGGAAUAUUGCACAAUGGGCGGAAGCCUGAUGCAGCAACGCCGCGUUCGGGAUGACGGCCUUCGGGUUGUAAACCGCUUUCGCCUGUGACGAAGCGUGAGUGACGGUAAUGGGUAAAGAAGCACCGGCUAACUACGUG
rnacentral:rRNA from 1 species